CGUAGGGGGCGAGCGUUGUCCGGAUUUACUGGGCGUAAAGCGCGUGUAGGCGGCUGGAUAAGUUGGGUGUGAAAGCCCGGGGCUCAACCCCGGGACGCCGCCCAAGACUGUUCGGCUUGAGGUACGGAAGAGGGGCGUGGAAUUCCAAGGUGUAGCGGUGAAAUGCGUAGAGAUCUGGAGGAACACCCGUGGCGAAGGCGGCGCCCUGGUCCGUUUCUGACGCUGAGACGCGAAAGCGCGGGGAGCGAACGGGAUUAGAUACCCCGGUAGUCCGCGCCGUAAACGAUGGUCACUAGGUGUGCGAGGUAUCGACCCCUCGCGUGCCGGCGCUAACGCAUUAAGUGACCCGCCUGGGGAGUACGGCCGCAAGGUUG
rnacentral:rRNA from 1 species